rnacentral:rRNA from 1 species
GGUUCAUUCAAAUUUCUGCCCUAUCAACUUUCGACGGCUGGGUCUUGGCCAGCCAUGGUGACAACGGGUAACGGAGGGUUAGGGCUCGACCCCGGAGAAGGAGCCUGAGAAACGGCUACUACAUCCAAGGAAGGCAGCAGGCGCGCAAAUUACCCAACCCUGACCGGGGAGGUAAUGACAAUAAAUACUGAUACAGGGCUCUUUUGAGUCUUGUAAUUGGAAUGAGUACAAUUUAAAUCCCUUAACGAGGAACAAUUGGAGGGCAAGUUUGGUGCCAGCAGCCGGGGUAAUUCCAGGUCCAAUAGCGUAUAUUAAAGUUGUAGCAGUUAAAAAGCUCGUAGUUG